rnacentral:rRNA from 1 species
UACGAAGGGGGCUAGCGUUGCUCGGAAUUAUUGGGCGUAAAGAGCUCGUAGGCGGCUUGUCACGUCGGGUGUGAAAGCCCGGGGCUUAACCCCGGGUCUGCAUUCGAUACGGGCUAGCUAGAGUGUGGUAGGGGAGAUCGGAAUUCCUGGUGUAGCGGUGAAAUGCGCAGAUAUCAGGAGGAACACCGGUGGCGAAGGCGGAUCUCUGGGCCAUUACUGACGCUGAGGAGCGAAAGCGUGGGGAGCGAACAGG